rnacentral:rRNA from 1 species
AUUGAACGCUGGCGGCAGGCCUAACACAUGCAAGUCGAACGAGUGGCGGACGGGUGAGUAAUGUCUGGGAAACUGCCCGAUGGAGGGGGAUAACUACUGGAAACGGUAGCUAAUACCGCAUACCAUCGGAUGUGCCCAUAUGGGAUUAGCUAGUCGGUGGGGUAAAGGCUCACCGAGGCGACGCUCCCUAGCUGGUCUGAGAGGAGGACCAUCCACACGGGAACUGGGACACGGUCCAGACUCCUACGUGAGGCAGCAGUGGGGAAUAUUGCACAAUGGGCUCAAGCCUGAUGCAGCCAUGCCGCGUGUAUGAAGAAGGCCUGCGGGUUGUAAAGUACUUUCAGCGGGGAGGCGUUACCCGCAGAAGAAGCACCGGCUAACUCCGUGCCAGCAGCCGCGGUAAUAC